rnacentral:lncRNA from 1 species
GUCUUACUGUAUUGCAGAUAAAAGAAAGAGAAAACUACAAGGAAAUGGAGAAAAGAAAGAAGGAGCACUAUGAUGCUAAAAUAGAAGCUGAGAGGAUGGCCUACAAUCUCUGGGGAAGGAGUGGAGGAGGUGCACCGAUUAAAGACCAACAAGUCAAACGCCAUAGUGACUUGAAACCAAUGCACAGGAUCAACGAGAAACAGAGCUUGAAUUCUACAUCUCCCAGAGCCGGAGCUCAGAUUCCAGUUUCCCAUCUGCCGCCAGUGAUGAGCCUCCCUCAGAACAACUCGACAUUCACAAGAAAUACCAACAACUAAAGCAGCAAACAAGCCUGCGAAAAGUCUCAACAAAUAUUCAAGCCUAACCUAAACCGUAUAGAAGGCGGAGCAGAGAGAACAUAAGAAGAUGGGGGAGGAAGAGCUGGAGAACAAGAUAGCAGUACGAGGAAAAGCAAAAGCACCACAUGAUGAAAGUCCUUAAAAAAAUAACUUAAUAAAUAUAUUUUUUAGUUUGGAUGGUGUCA